rnacentral:rRNA from 1 species
GACAGAGGGUGCAAACGUUGUUCGGAAUUACUGGGCGUAAAGCGCGUGUAGGCUGCUCGGAAAGUCGGAUGUGAAAGCCCUGGGCUUAACCUAGGAAGUGCAUUCGAAACUUCCGAGCUGGAGUUCUGGAGAGGAAGGCGGAAUUCUCGGUGUAGAGGUGAAAUUCGUAGAUAUCGAGAGGAACACCGGUGGCGAAGGCGGCCUUC